GACGAACCGUGCGAACGUUGUUCGGAAUCACUGGGCUUAAAGGGCGCGUAGGCGGCUCCGCCAGUCGGGGGUGAAAUCCCACGGCCUAACCGUGGAAGUGCCUCCGAUACUGCGGGGCUGGAGGGAGGUAGGGGCAGCGGGAACUUCGGGUGGAGCGGUGAAAUGCGUUGAUAUCCGAAGGAACGCCGGUGGCGAAAGCGCGCUGCUGGACCUCUUCUGACGCUGAGGCGCGAAAGCCAGGGGAGCAAACGGG
rnacentral:rRNA from 1 species